GACGAACGCUGGCGGCGUGCUUAACACAUGCAAGUGGUGCGACGAACCAGGGCUUGCCCUGGGGCAAAGCCGCGAACGGGUGAGUAACACGUGAGUAAUCUGCCCCGAUGACCGGGACAACCCGAGGAAACUCGGGCUAAUACCGGAUGUGGUGCCUUGGCGUAAGCCUUUGCACUAAAGGAAGCUUCGGCCUCCGCAUUGGGAGGAGCUCGCGGCCCAUUAGCUUGUUGGUGGGGUAACGGCCUACCAAGGCGACGAUGGGUAGCUGGUCUGAGAGGACGAUCAGCCACACUGGGACUGAGACACGGCCCAGACUCCUACGGGAGGCAGCAGUGGGGAAUCUUGCGCAAUGCGCGAAAGCGUGACGCAGCAACGCCGCGUGGGGGAAGAAGGCCUUCGGGUUGUAAACCCCUUUCAGUUGGGACGAAGCUUCGACGGUUAAUAGCCUGCUGGAGUGACGGUACCUUCAGAAGAAGCCCCGGCUAACUACGUGCCAGCAGCCGCAGUAAC
rnacentral:rRNA from 1 species